rnacentral:rRNA from 1 species
UACGUAGGGGGCGAGCGUUGUCCGGAAUUACUGGGCGUAAAGAGAGCGUAGGCGGCACUACAAGUCUCAUGUGAAAUACCCGGGCUUAACUUGGGGGUUGCAUGGGAAACUGUAGAGCUUGAGUACAGGAGAGGCAAGCGGAAUUCCGAGUGUAGCGGUGAAAUGCAUAGAUAUUAGGAGGAACACCAGUGGCGAAGGCGGCUUGCUGGACUGAAACUGACGCUGAGGCUCGAAAGCGUGGGGAGCAAACAGG